rnacentral:piRNA from 1 species
CCCUGAAUACUUGGAAUCAGCUGAGAUGC